rnacentral:rRNA from 1 species
AGAGUUUGAUCAUGGCUCAGAACGAACGCUGGCGGCAGGCCUCAAACAUGCAAGUCUAGGGGGUGUAGCAAUACAUCACCGGCGGACGGGUGCGUAACGCGUGGGAAUAUACCUAUUGGUUCGGAACAACUGAGGGAAACUUCAGCUAAUACCGGAUGAGCCCGCAAGGGGAAAGAUUUCUCGCCAAUGGAUUAGCCCGCGUCCGAUUAGCUAGUUGGUGGGGUUAUGGCCUACCAAGGCGACGAUCGGUAGCUGUUCUGAGAGGAAGAUCAGCCACACUGGGACUGAGACACGGCCCAGACUCCUACGGGAGGCAGCAGUGGGGAAUUUUGCGCAAUGGGGGAAACCCUGACGCAGCAACGCCGCGUGGAGGAUGAAGUCCCUUGGGAUGUAAACUCCUUUCGACCCGGACGAUACUGACGGUACGGGUGGAAGAAGCACCGGCUAACUCUGUGCCAGCCGCCGCGGUAAUAC